UUUAGUACAGUGUGAUUUCCAAGGAAAACAUUGUAGGUUAUUGCAAGAUUCUGUCCAUUUACUAGUGCAGGCGCCUCCAACCCCAUCACAACACUUGCAUACAACUCCAAGCGUUGCAAAAAUCUUUGAAUACCCUACAAUUACAUCACAUAUAUAAAUCAAUAAACAGCCAAAAAAGAAUUUAACUAGAAUGAACUAAUAAAAUCAUAGAUUGUUAUAUAUAGUAAUAACUUUUUUAUAUGAAAAAAUCUGUUGGAGAUAUUAAAAAAUCUAACUGAUCAUAUUAAAAAAUCAGUGCUAGUUGGUAUACAUAAUAAGAGUAUAUUAAUUUUUAUGAUAAUUAUUUUAAAAAUUAUAUCUAAGAGAAAUUCUAAUUAGUUAAUGGUAUAAUUAUCUUUGUAUUAAAAAUUGGACACCGCAACAAAAUCAACUAGCACUGAUUUUGUUAACCUGCAUGUGCAAAUCCUCUGAUUUUGUUAACUUGUUAAACAUUCUUUAAUUUUUAUUAUUUCUAUUGUUUUCUAGUACACCAGUACACCCGUUUCUCCUUCACGAGGAUUGAAAAUAUUAUUUAUCUUAAAUAUUAAUAUAGAUUUAUGUUUUAUGUUAACAAAAUAAAAGCAAAACUCAUUAUGCACUGAGUUUUAAAGAAUGAGAAAUUAACUUGUUAAGAUUCUUUUCUAAAAUGUUUUUUAUUUCUCCCAUUUAUUGUAUUUUAAAAACUAUAUUUUACCAUAUACUUUAAUAAAUUAUAUAUCUAUAAUUGACAACAAUAAUUAAUGAUUAAAAAUAUUAUACUUUACAAUCAAUAAUUAAAAAAUUAAUUAUAAAUAAUUCCUGCUAUAAAUUUAAAAAAUAUUUAUAUAUUUAAAAUAUUCAUGAAUACUAUUUACUUGUGUAUAACACGAAUCAAUUAGAGUUGCUAACUAGUGAUAUAAAAUUAUUAUCAUUAGUUAUGAAAAAUAAUUAACUCAUUUGAAUCUAUUUAAUAUAUCUAUCUAUGUAAAGGAAGUUUGAAUUUAUAUGAAUCGUUAGAUCAAAAUUUUUAAAUUAAUUUAAAGUUACUUUUAAAUUGAAAACACUGUGUUCUUGCGUCUUGAAAUUUGACAAGUCACUAUAAAAAUUCAGAAAUUGUGAAAAUUCAGAAAUGUAUUAUGAAAAUUCAGAAAUUGUAACAUAUCCAGCAGAAAAGAUGUUUAUUUAUAGUCCAGAACAUAAGAUAGAAAAGAUAUUUUCUUAAAAGCAAGUAGAUGCAUCAUAUAAAAAAGUAUCCAAUAACUCUAGUUAUGCAUGGAAUCUGAUAUUUUUUUUUGGCUUCCUAAGCACUCUAAUAUGACUGAAAUCUUCAAAAGUUCAAACUGAUCAAUCCUCACACUUCCACUUGGUAGAUAUACCACUCAAUUAUUAGUAGAUACUUAUUGUUCUAUUAUUUCUAAAUCUUCAGGAAUACUAAAGGGUGAUCAAGAAAGGACUCUCACAAGUCAAAUUGCACCAAAUUGCUAUCCGCAUUUGAGACUGGAAAAGUCAAGCUUUUUUGUAAAACAAAACUUCAAGCGGAAAUUUAAGAUGGUACAAGUAUAUAUAGAAGUGGAUGGAUUAUGAAGGUAGCUGAAUCAAAUGCUUUAGCUCUAUCAAUUUUUGUAAAGGAAAGUGAGCAUUGGCUAAAAGGGAAAGACUAGAGAGCAAAGAAGGAUCAGGAAGGCUCCUUAUAGGGCUCCUUAUAGGGAUAGCUUCAUUUUAUUUUAAUGGUUAUCAGAUCCAGAGUUGUAGUUGCACUCACUAUAUGCUAUGGGAACUAAAAUCAAUAUAUAAGAAACCAUAUAGAGCACUAAGUCACAGCUAGAUUCCAUCUAUAUUGUCCAAAUAUCUAUCAAUUUUGUACCUCAAGUUUAUAAACAUUAGAUUCAUUUGUCUUUUUAUUUUAUAGAAAUUAAUUAAGCAAUUAGUAUAAAAAUUAUUAAUCUUCAUUAAAAUAGAAUUAUCAUAAACAAUAUGAUGCAUCAGUAACAUAUACCUCAAUUUUCCAUGUUAAUAAAUUUGUAUGUUAACGCCAUAUAUUAUACUUUUAUCAUAAAUUUAUAAUUUAUAAUAAUAUAUAUACAAUAACAGAAACGCACCUAACAACUCAUCAUUAAGUUUAUGAUUUUUUUUAGGUGAGCCAUUCAAGCAACCAACAUAUAUCUUAAUGUCCAAAACAAAAAGAAGUUACCUGUUUUCCAUGUGAAGACAAACUUUUAUGCAGUUCCUCUAGAGCAGUGAUUCCAGCGGUGUCAAUGUUCACCAAAUCUAUCGGAAGAAAAGCCUCAUGAAUCAAAUAAUAAUACACAUGCACUUUGUUAUUUUAAACACCAUAUUAAUAUUUCUUAUUUCUUUUUCUCUUUCUUUUCAUCACAUCACAAAAUCUAUCAAAUCUAUAUACUUUUUUCUUUUUCUAGGUGUUCAAUGGGUAUUAACUAGAGUAGUUCAUGUAUCAUUUUUCUUUUAAUAAUAAUAAAAAAAAAACAGCAGCUGAUCGAAAUUGUAAAAUUUUUAACCACAUUGCUUUCUCACCAAUGGUCUUAUGUAUAAUAUUCUAAGAUGUAUAUAUGUGUACUUUUUUCGAACUUUACGUAAUCAGUUAUUAUAGGUACUUUAGUAAAAGUAAAAGGUGCAAAAUAUGCUGUUAAUUUCAUUUUCUUUUCCUUUUUGUGGAAAGAUCAAUAUCCUCCUAUAUUUAAUAACGAGAGUCAGAAAGUCUUACUGGAGGUGUCAAGCCUUACUGGAGGUGUCAAGAAUUAAAAGUGAAAAGCCUUACUGACAUCUCUUCCGUUUUCUUUUCUUUAAAAACUACAAGAUAUAAUAUGUUUUUCAUAUACUAAUAGAUUUCAUUUUCAGUAUAUUACCUAAUUUUUUAUUAUAUCUAACAUUUUCAAAAUUUUAUUUUUGAUGCUUUCUAUUAAUUUUUAUUUAUCAAUUAAAUGAUAACGUGACAAAUUAUCAUAAUAUCAAUUAUCAAAUAAAUAAUGAUAUGAUAAACUAAUAGAACAUCACAUUAGCAUAAUGAUAUUAAAAAUAAAAGAAAGCCAACCUGCAUAUGCAAAUC
rnacentral:lncRNA from 1 species